CCCCCCCCCCCCCCGUGAAAGGACAAUUUUUUUGGUUGCAUUUUCUCCUUAAAAGUCCGUUCUGCUCCUAAAUGCUGCUUUCUCGUGGUGUCAUCUCACCCUAUAGAGCAAUGCAGGGUCCUUCUUCCAUCCCCUGUGAGCACUGUGGAGCAGGGAGGGAGGUGCCAUUGUCAUCACCUUGGGACAUGUGCAGCAUCAUCUGGGGGUGCUCCAUGGAUUGGUUUCUCUGCCUCCUCCCACCUCAUCAGUCUGACUCCUGCUGGGUGCUGGAUUGGUUCGCCUUUCCGCAGACCAAAGCUACUCAGCGGUGUGCAAAUCAUAGAAUCAUUUCAUUUCAAAGGGAUCGUUAAAAGUCAUCCUGUCCAACUCAAACGGUUUGAAGCCCAUUCCCAAACCAACUACAAAGAUCUGCUCCUUGAGCACCUUCCCAAUGGAGAUGGACUCUUCCGUGCCCGCCCAAAGCCCGUUGCAUGUGGCAGAGCGGCUCCUCUGAACUCUGGGGUGGGAGCGGCCCCUUUUUGGGGGUCCUCAGCUCACAGCAAGAAAGAUACACGAAGAAAAACUCCUUUCAUAAAUCACACAACAAAGAGAGGAAACAUAGAAAGCAGAGGGGGUAUUCUCCUGUUUCUCGAGGAGCAGAAGAGGAAUGGGGAAGGCAGCGUCGUUAAAGUGAAAUCCCUGACUGGAAUGAAAAAAGGCAAAGAAAUUAAAGCCAGAUUUGUUCCCCUGGGCUGGAGGAAGGAGGAUCCCUUUUGGUUUGUUCCUCCUUUCUUGUUUCCUUUAAAGACAGGAGAUCAAUUGCGGGGCUUAAUGAGAACCGUCUAUGGCGAGAGGUAGGCAGUGCAGAGUGGGGCCGACCCAGCACUGCAAGCAUCGCUCUCUGUUCCCAUCCCUUACAGCCACUUGAGGAACACUGUGGAUUAUGACCACCAUCCGUCCUCCCUGCUCCAUGGGUGCGAUUGACACGGAUAAAAUCCCUGAGCUCCAACUGAUGGGGUCAAGCGGAGCUGGAGCAGCUCCAGAUUUGUUGCAGUCCUACUGAUGGUUAGGGGAGAUGGUCCAGAGUGCUGUGCCUACCUGGGUUCUGGAUGCAGGAGUCUGGGGGCACAGAUUUCAUAGAAUCAUUAAGGCUGGAAAAGGCCUCUAACAUCACCAAGCCCAACCCCAACCCAUCCCACCAUGCCCACUGACCACGUCCCUCAGUGCCACAUCUCAACAGUUCUUGAACACCUGCAGCAGUGACUCUACUACUCUCUGGGCAGCUGUGCCAGUGCCUGAUCAUUCUUUUGGAGACGAUUUUUUUUCUAAUAUUCAACCUGAACCUCUGUUGGCACAACUUGAGGCCAUCACGUCUCCUACGGGCCUUGGGGACACCCCAUGCAUACAGGAGCUAAGCAGGAUUCACUGGAGUGCUAUUGGGAUGUCCCCUUGGGGAGGUCCUGAUGGGGACAUCCCAGAAGGCUCUCUCCCUUGAGAUGGGAGAUGCUGGCAGGAGAAGAAGCAAUGGAUCUGCCCUUUGCUUGUGAAUCUCAUGCCAAAAUAGGUGCCUCCAUUUCCCCUAAAAUGGGUAUCCAUCUUUUUGGCUUGCCUGGACCAUGCUGAAUGAAAAGAAAUUGUCUUGCUCCAUGUAUAUUUGAGGAACAUGCUUAGUGGGCAUGGUGGUGACAGGUUGAUGGUUGGACUUAGAGGUCGUUUCAUGACUUAACAAUUCUAUGAUAUAACAUAUAUAAUAUAGGUAAUGCAUAUAAGUAACAAAGCCUCAAAACAAAAAAAAAAAAAAAAAAGAGGGUAACAAAACCAUAAAGCUAGCAGGUUGGAGGCAUUUAAAACCCUGUUUCGAUCGAGAGGAGACACACAGGUGCUGGCUCACACCGUAAUGUUAACUGCUUCUUUCCCACGCUGCUUACCAGCAGGUACAGCUUCACCCAGGACUCCAAAAAUAUGUUGUAAAGGUUUCUCUGGUGCCUCAGCACCCUGGACUGAAGCACUGGCACAGGUUGCUCAGAGAGGUGGUGGUGCCCCAUUCCCGGAGACACACAAGGUCAGGCUGGAUGGGGCUGUGAGCAUCUGAUGGAGCUGUGGGUGUCCCUGUUCACUGCAGGGAGUGGGACCAGAUGGCCUUUAAGGGUCCCUUCCAACGCAAACCAUUCUAUGAUUCUAUGGUUCUAUGAUUCUACCUAGAGAAGCUGUGGAUGCCCCAUCCCUGAAGGUGUUCAAGGUCAGGUUGGAUGGACGUCUGGACAUCCUGAUCUGGUGGAUGGCAACCAGCCCUUGGUAGGAGCAUUGGAACUGGAUGAACUUUGAUGCCCCUUCCAAUCCAAGCCAUCCAUGAUUCUGUGACUUGGGAGCACCUUCCUGGCAACUCAGCAAUCCUAAAUGCAGACUAGAGAAACUGGACAGAGGGAGAUGGAGAAAUACUUAGAGCCAGCGUUUCCCCAUAAAUGAGUCACCAGUGUAUGCUAUGAACACAAGUGUGGCCCUCGUGAUCCGUUUUCAUUGCAGGACCAAAGAAACAGACCAAAAGGUCCAGGCUGCAGUGGGGUUGAUGCAUUUUUGCAUGAAAACAAGCAGAGAUGCAGAGCUUCAUCCCAUGUGUCCUUGGGAGAAGUGGACAAUUCCCCAGAUUUCCCCAGUGCCAAAAUAUCACUUCUGAAUAAUGUUUUCUUCCUCUUCCCCACUACCUCUCCUCUCUCACAACCUCCCCUCCUGUUUUCUGGUCCUGGAGGUGCUGAAGAGAACAUCAUCCCUUCCUCCCAUGUUGCUGGAAGGAAGCAGAACGUGUAAUGCUAAAUUGUGAUGGGGGGGAAAGAAAAAGGUGAUCAAUGGAAUUCACUUUUUUUUGGGGGGGUGGGGGGGCUGGGAAGAGCAUCCUACAGCUCUGUGCACUCAGGGUCCAGGUAGUGGAAAUAACUCUGCAGCAAAAGGGUGGCCCCAUCCCAGGGUAUUUUCCUUUAUUUCAGGCUCCUCAGCUUGGAGAGGCGUGAAUGCAGCAGGUGGGGAGGUGUGGGGUGAGGGGGGCAUCCCUCCUCUUGGGUGGGUGCCCAAAAUGUUGGGUGCUCCGACCACCAGCAACACACCAGUGCCGAAUCAGGGAUGAGUUCUGCCAUAGGGCCACAAAUAAUAUACAUAUAUAUAGAGAGAAAGACAAAUGGAAAGAAAACGGGCCACCAUCCUGGAUUUUGAGCAAAAAUAACAAAGAAAAAAAUAUAUAUAAAGAGAAUGGAAAGAAAUGGAGCUUUUCUAGAAAGCCCAAUUUCUAGAAAAACUCCUGCACCCAGGGAGACAAUGAGCCCCACGCGGCGCUUCCUCCCAUUCCUGCAGCGGAUGUGUUUCUCAUUUGGGCUUUGUUUUGUUUUCUUUCUUUUCAUUUCCCCCUCCCUUUCCCCUUUCCCCGCUCUGCCCAGCGGGAUGCAGCCAAUGGCCCCAAUGGACAGACAACGGAUGGACAACGGGACGCGGCCGCUUGGUUCCAUGAGCAACACGAGUUUUGGAAGAGCGUGCCCUCCACGCCGCGGUGUUUUGCAUUAAAAGGUCCGGGGUACGGAUAGUGUUGCAGCAGCAUCUUCAAAGUCUCAUGGCUUUCAAACACAGCCGUGCACACAUGAGCCCCUCCCUCGCGGCCGUCCCUGUCUCGCAUUACGCUGGCAUUUUCUUUGGGGAUGAACAGGGGAGAGACUCCGGCGUAGUUUAUUUUCCUUCCGAGCAGGGAGGAGAGAACGCGCAAAAUGCUCCUAAUGGAGCAAAGCGAGCAAGAGGAGCCCAAAGGCGCGGGUGUGCGGCCUCAUGGGGACACUGCUGGGGGUUGGGAUUCUCCUUGCUAUGAGGGGCCCAAAGCCUUUGAGGUGGGAAGGAUUUGGGGUGGGAGAAGGGCCGGAGGAAUGGGGACAGGUGGCAGAGUGCACCUGCGGGCAGGAGGAUGGAUGGGUGGGUGGGUGGGUGGGUGGGUGGAGGGAUGCGGCCGCACGGAGCAUCUCCUCAAUGGGUGUGCGGAGCUUUGAGCCUACAGAUGAGCAGACCCCGAUCCCCUCCUCCUUGCUUUAUAAUGUAUAAUAAAAGGGUGUUUUCUUUUUCAGUUGUGUAUUUCCGUAGCCACCGUCUAUAAUAAAGCCUGGAGCCGGCCCAAGCCGCGUCUCUAUUCCUUGGGUGUGCACAAAAAGGGGAAUAUCGAGAUGAUCUCGUUUCUGUCUCUCUCCAGUCUCAUAUCGAACAAAGGGCGGAUGGGAACAAGAAAGGAAGGGAAAAAAGCAUCACCUGUUCCCAUACAGUCUUAGCGAGAUCGCGGUCAUUAUCUCGGCAGCCUCACAUUUCUAAAGGGGCUUCGUUUGUCUUUUCAAACACUGGCAUCUUGUUAAAAAGCAGAGGGGAAAUGGCCGAUUUGCUCCGUUCCCCCCCAAAAUGAGCGGCGGUGCCACGGCCGCCCCCGCAGCCCCAACUUUAACACCUGGGAAAAGAAAGUGGGAAGGAAACCAAAGGCACCCAAAGAGAAAUAAAGGCGCCGCGGCCGAAGGGCCCCAACCCCGCUUCUCCCGAUGGCGUUCCUCCAUCUGACAAAAGCCUUUGGUUUUCUGUCAUUCUUUUCAUUUCCUUGAUGGCUCCCCAAUUGUCCAAGCCUUCAAGAAAACGCACUUUGGCUCUUUUGUCGCCACGCGUAAUUUGAUAAACUCGCCGCAGAAACAUUCGGGUUUGGUGGGGGGGGGGGGGGGGGGGGAGAAAGGAGGGG
rnacentral:lncRNA from 1 species